UACGAGGGGGGCGAGCGUUGUUCGGAAUUAUUGGGCGUAAAGGGUGCGUAGGCGGUUUGGUAAGUCUUAUGUGAAAUCUACAGGCUCAACUUGUAGUCUGCAUGAGAAACUGCCGGGCUUGAGUGUGGGAGAGGUGAGUGGAAUUCUUGGUGUAGCGGUGAAAUGCGUAGAUAUCAGGAGGAACACCUGUGGCGAAAGCGGCUCACUGGACCAUAACUGACGCUGAUGCACGAAAGCUAGGGGGAGCAAACAGG
rnacentral:rRNA from 1 species